CCCUUAGAUGUUCUGGGCCGCACGCGCGCUACACUGACGAUGGCAACGAGUUUUUCCUUCGCCGAAAGGUGUGGGUAAUCUUUUGAAACAUCGUCGUGCUGGGGAUAGAUCAUUGCAAUUUUUGAUCUUGAACGAGGAAUUCCUAGUAAGCGCGAGUCAUCAGCUCGCGUUGAUUACGUCCCUGCCCUUUGUACACACCGCCCGUCGCUACUACCGAUUGAAUGGUUUAGUGAGGACUCCUGAUUGGCGCCGCCGCCCCGGCAACGGAGCAGCGGACUGCCGAAAAGUUGUUCAAAUUUGAUCAUUUAGAGGAAGUAAAAGUCGUAACA
rnacentral:rRNA from 1 species